AAAGGUGGGGAAAGAGGCUCUAGGUUGCCCCCCCUCCCCUCACCUUUCUGAAUUCCUUCCUCAGUCGAGUUUCCAACCAGCUCCUCCUCAGUCCUUCACGGAAAUUCACCGCAUUUGACACGAGCUGGAAAAAUCCAUACGGCGACUGUUUGUGUACACCUGCACAAACACCACACCACAGUCAGGAACUGGGCAGAAUGAAAACCAACCUAGAAAGUCAUGCCUACUCAGAUGUCAAAGAUUGAUAACAACUUAAAGUAUUAUGUUUUCCAUGGUGUGGUGGAAAAGAUGACUGAAUUUAGAGUAUGAAGACUUCAGUUCAAAUAUCAGUUUAGCCAUUAUUGGUAUGACAUUCGACUAUGGAUUUGUAUUCCUAGUUCCUGGCCUACAGUUGGAGCUUAAAAGCAGGAGUCACAGCCUCAAGCCAAAGGAGUUAAGCCUGUAUGGUGGGAUUUUAGUCCUAAGUGGAAACAUUUGGAAUACUGUAUUCAAUUCUGGGCAGCACAUUUGGGAAAGAAAACUGGAGUGUAUCCAGAAGAGGACAACCAGGCCGGUGCGAAGACUAGAGAACAUUCCAUAAGAAUUAUCAGUUGAAGAGACCGGAAAUGUUUAGCUUAAAAAAGAGAUUUCAGGGAUGAGGGCAUGAUAGUUGUUUUUGAAUAUCUGGAGGUGAAUAUCUGUUUGGCCCCAGAGGGAAGAAUGAAGCACUGAG